GAGGGUAUAGCUCAGUGGUAGAGCAGGUGCCUAGCAUACGCGAGGUCCUGGGUUCAGUCCCCAGUGCCUCCA
rnacentral:tRNA from 1 species